rnacentral:rRNA from 1 species
CAAAACUCAAAAACUUAGUCUCAGUUCGGAUUGUAGGCUGAAACUCGCCUACAUGAAGCUGGAGUUGCUAGUAAUCGCGAAUCAGCAUGUCGCGGUGAAUACGUUCCCGGGCCUUGUACACACCGCCCGUCACACCAUGAGAGUUGGCAAUACCCAACGUACGUGAUCUAACCCGCAAGGGAGGAAGCGUCCUAAGGUAGGGUCAGCGAUUGGGGUGAAGUCGUAACAAGGUACC